UACGGAAGGCAGCAGUGGGGAAUAUUGCACAAUGGGCGCAAGCCUGAUGCAGCCAUGCCGCGUGUAUGAAAAAGGCCUUCGGGUUGUAAAGUACUUUCAGUCGUGAGGAAGGUGUUAAGGUUAAUAACCUUAGCAAUUGACGUUAGCGACAGAAGAAGCGCCGGCUAACUCCGUGCCAGCAGCCGCGGUAAUACGGAGGGUGCGAGCGUUAAUCGGAAUUACUGGGCGUAAAGGGCACGCAGGCGGUUAAUUAAGUUGGAUGUGAAAUCCCCGGGCUUAACCUGGGAAUGGCAUUCAAGACUGGUUAGCUAGAGUCUUGUAGAGGGGGUAGAAUUCCAUGUGUAGCGGUGAAAUGCGUAGAGAUGUGGAGGAAUACCGGUGGCGAAGGUGGCCCCUGGACAAAGACUGACGCUCAUGUGCGAAAGCGUGGGGAGCAAACAGGGAUUAGAUACC
rnacentral:rRNA from 1 species